GGCGAGGUGGCACGGUGGUUAGUGGUUAGCUCUGUUGCCUCACACCUCCGGGGUUCGAAUCCCGCCUCCGCCC